rnacentral:lncRNA from 1 species
CAAGCUCAAGCUCCACAACAGGUCCCGACUCUUGUAUUCCCAAGUUUAAAGAUUACCGCUCAAUGAAGAACCCCUUCUAUCCAUCCAGGUCUGAUGAGAGCCCAGAAGAAGUCUUCUUUAGAGGCAAACAAUAUCAUGGGCCAGCAGAGCUGGACGAGAUGGAGCAACCGAGUUCUGGUUUGAUGCUCGUUGAUGGUGCGGAUCAAGAUGGUGCAUCUGAGCUGAAUGAAGUCAAUGAAAGUGGCUUUGACGAGGAGAUGCUGGAGCUGGAUGAGUCCAUCUCUCCAGGUGACACCAUGGAGAGACAUCACAGGGAGCUUCUUAUUCAUGUCAUCCCACCGUCCCUGUGCAACUCUGAGGAACAAAUCGACGAAGGAUUAUCCAACGGUGUCAAGCAUAACACGUGUGACAGAGACGAAGCCGAUGCUCCAAAGAAACGGAGAGGUUCGGUAAUGACAAUAAUCACUGGGGACUGUGAGCAUGUCUUCUCAUUUGAUGAGGAGCAUCAGAUAGAUGCUUUGAACCCUGUGGGUGAGUCUCCUACUGCGUCUCCAAUAGAGGACCUUGCCUGCAUCAGAGAAGUGGUGGAGGAGCUCCAGGAUUCCUCACAAGCACGAAAAACCACAACUUCUGCGAAUAGUAUGCUAAUCUUACAUAUAGACACGUCCUCUCAACAGUCUGGAGAAGUGCAAACAAAUGAACCCCUGGAUAAAACAAGCACAGAUGUCUAUACUACAGCCAAGCUUUAUAAAAAUUACUUGUCUGAACGGCAAAGUGCCUCAAAAAAUUCAUUAGAGGUCAAAGAGCACCUCAGGCCUCCAACGGACUCCAUUCAUAAAGAUUCAGAGGAGCAUUCAGACCACUGGGCAAGGAGACGCAAGCUCUUCAAGGAGAGCAAACAGCGCAGUUCUGCAGGAGGAAGCUCUAUUACUAGCAAUAUCACAGAGGAAUCAGGUAUUCACUUACAUAUACACUCAAUUCAUGUGCCGAUUGGUUUCGAAGGAAGUUUUUGUGCAAUCAAUGCAUUUCUUCCUAUUUAUGACAACUCAUUUUAGGUCACAAAAAGUGAAUUUAAACCAGUGUGACCAUGGAGUCUAAAUUCACAGUUUACUCAUGCUCUUCUGAAGCUAAUAAUUCUACUUAAUGCUAUUUGAAUAUAUUAAACAUUAGAAUAAUAUAUUAAUGUAGCCUUAUUCAUUAAAG